rnacentral:ncRNA from 2 species
UCGAACCACUAGGGGAAUCAAGGCGAUUGAGACGGGAGAAACCCGGACCCUUUGAACCUGAUCUAGUUGAUACUAGCGUAGGGAAGUGGAGUAGACUUGUA